GACGAACGCUGGCGGCGUGCUUAACACAUGCAAGUCGAACGGAAAGGCCCUUCGGGGUACUCGAGUGGCGAACGGGUGAGUAACACGUGGGUGAUCUGCCCUGCACUUUGGGAUAAGCCUGGGGAACUGGGUCUAAUACCGAAUAGGACCACGCGCUUCAUGGUGUGUGGUGGAAAGCUUUUGCGGUGUGGGAUGGGCCCGCGGCCUAUCAGCUUGUUGGUGGGGUAAUGGCCUACCAAGGCGACGACGGGUAGCCGGCCUGAGAGGGUGACCGGCCACACUGGGACUGAGAUACGGCCCAGACUCCUACGGGAGGCAGCAGUGGGGAAUAUUGCACAAUGGGCGCAAGCCUGAUGCAGCGACGCCGCGUGAGGGAUGACGGCCUUCGGGUUGUAAACCUCUUUCAAUAGGGACGAAGCGUGAGUGACGGUACCUAUAGAAGAAGCACCGGCCAACUACGUGCCAGCAGCCGCGGUAAUACGUAGGGUGCGAGCGUUGUCCGGAAUUACUGGGCGUAAAGAGCUCGUAGGUGGUUUGUCGCGUUGUUCGUGAAAACUCACAGCUUAACUGUGGGCGUGCGGGCGAUACGGGCAGACUAGAGUACUGCAGGGGAGACUGGAAUUCCUGGUGUAGCGGUGGAAUGCGCAGAUAUCAGGAGGAACACCGGUGGCGAAGGCGGGUCUCUGGGCAGUAACUGACGCUGAGGAGCGAAAGCGUGGGGAGCGAACAGGAUUAGAUACCCUGGUAGUCCACGCCGUAAACGGUGGGUACUAGGUGUGGGUUCCUUCCUUGGGAUCCGUGCCGUAGCUAACGCAUUAAGUACCCCGCCUGGGGAGUACGGCCGCAAGGCUAAAACUCAAAGGAACUGACGGGGGCCCGCACAAGCGGCGGAGCAUGUGGAUUAAUUCGAUGCAACGCGAAGAACCUUACCUGGGUUUGACAUGCACAGGACGCCGGCAGAGAUGUCGGUUCCCUUGUGGCCUGUGUGCAGGUGGUGCAUGGCUGUCGUCAGCUCGUGUCGUGAGAUGUUGGGUUAAGUCCCGCAACGAGCGCAACCCUUGUCCUAUGUUGCCAGCGGGUUAUGCCGGGGACUCGUAGGAGACUGCCGGGGUCAACUCGGAGGAAGGUGGGGAUGACGUCAAGUCAUCAUGCCCCUUAUGUCCAGGGCUUCACACAUGCUACAAUGGCCGGUACAAAGGGCUGCGAUGCCGUGAGGUGGAGCGAAUCCUUUCAAAGCCGGUCUCAGUUCGGAUCGGGGUCUGCAACUCGACCCCGUGAAGUCGGAGUCGCUAGUAAUCGCAGAUCAGCAACGCUGCGGUGAAUACGUUCCCGGGCCU
rnacentral:rRNA from 1 species